AACGCUGGCGGCGUGCCUAACACAUGCAAGUCGGAUGUGCCCGCAAGGGUGCAUGGCAGACGGGUGAGUAACGCGUGGAAAACCUACCUCUUUGUGGGGAAUAACGCUCCGAAAGGAGUGGUAAUACCGCAUGAGACCAUGGACUGGGAUGUCCAUGGUGAAACCUGGGGACCGCAAGGCCUGGGGCAAGGAGAGGGUUCUGCGUCUGAUUAGCUAGUUGGUGGGGUAACGGCCUACCAAGGCGACGAUCAGUAGCCGGCCUGAGAGGGUGAUCGGCCACACUGGAACUGAGACACGGUCCAGACUCCUACGGGAGGCAGCAGUGGGGAAUUUUGCGCAAUGGGCGAAAGCCUGACGCAGCAACGCCGCGUGGGUGAUGAAGGUCUUCGGAUCGUAAAACCCUGUCGUCAGGGACGAAGGUCAGCCUUUGAAUAGGGGGUUGGCUUGACGGUACCUGGAGAGGAAGCCCCGGCUAACUCUGUGCCAGCAGCCGCGGUAAUACAGAGGGGGCAAGCGUUAUUCGGAAUUAUUGGGCGUAAAGGGCGCGUAGGCGGUGUUUUAAGUGAGAUGUGCAAUCCCCGGGCUUAACCUGGGAACUGCAUCUCAGACUGGAACGCUGGAGUGCUGGAGAGGGUGGUAGAAUUCCACGUGUAGCGGUGAAAUGCGUAGAGAUGUGGAGGAAUACCAGUGGCGAAGGCGGCCACCUGGACAGUAACUGACGCUGAGGCGCGAAAGUGUGGGUAGCAAACAGGAUUAGAUACCCUGGUAGUCCACGCUGUAAACGAUGAACACUUGGUGUGGUGGGAGUUGACCCCCGCCGUGCCGUAGCUAACGCGAUAAGUGUUCCGCCUGGGGAGUACGGUCGCAAGGCUGAAACUCAAU
rnacentral:rRNA from 1 species